UACGUAGGCAGCAAGCGUUUGUUCGGAGUUACUGGGCGUAAAGGGUGCGUAGGCGGUUGUUUAAGUUUGGUGUGAAAUCUCCCGGCUCAACUGGGAGGGUGCGCCGAAUACUGAAUGACUAGAGUGCGGGAGAGGAGAGUGGAAUUCCUGGUGUAGCGGUGAAAUGCGUAGAUAUCAGGAGGAACACCGGUGGCGAAGGCGGGUCUCUGGGCCGUAACUGACGCUGAGGAGCGAAAGCGUGGGGAGCGAACAGG
rnacentral:rRNA from 1 species